CAGCAAUAUAUGGUUGAUGUAACUGCCACAUCAGUUACUGCCACCUCGUCUACAUUCAUCUUCCCAGAGGAGUAGGUAGGGGAUGUUUUUACUAUUCGUAUUGCAAGUAAGAAAACAGAUGGACUAUUUAAGAGGAGAGGACAGUCACGUAGGACAGGAAAAAGAACUUCAGUUUGAUAUGCAAUUAAUUGGGGGCACCGUCAGCUAUUUUAAAAACGUAUGGAGGGAGGGAGGAUUUCCUGCUUGUAGUGAGGAAGCAACACUUGAAAACAGAAACAUAAACUUCAUCCUCUCAAAUCUACUGGAAAAAAAAGAGCGGCACACUGUUUGGGAGAGUACAAGACUCAAAUAUGUAGUCACUAUAUACAAAAUGAGAAAAAAUUGAUGGAUGAAUGCUUUAUGCAGCUUUUCCCCUACCACUGGUGAUAUUAACAUGGAACUAGAAGUAUGAUGCCACAGCUCAAUAUAUAGAUAUUUUUAGUAUAGCACUACACAAAACAGCAGUCCUGUUUUGUCUGGAGAGGCAAAAUGUAAAAAAGCUGUCAUGAAAUUACCUUCUGCCUCAUUAACAUUUCUGCACACUCAGUUUUAGUACUUGGAUUCCUAACUUUCCAUGGCUCCAUACGCACAAUAUAUUCCAUAGAUUACUAGAGUAACAAUUCACGUUUUGUUCUCCAAAGAUGAAAAGACAGUAGGGCACACAAUAUGCAUUCAGCCCUGAGUUCCCCUUACUUCCAACAUUCCUUUUUUUUUCUUUUUUUUGCCUCCACAUUUUCUUUUCAGCACAGUUCACAGUUGGAUGUAGACAAAAUCAGGUGUUAUCCCUAUGACGCAGAUAAACCGGAGCAGGAAAGACACCCUUCCUCGUCUCGUCUUUUGGAGUGCGAAAAAUAGUCGCUGGCGAGGCAACCCAGUGGUCAGGAGCUUCAAAUGGGUUUGGACAGAUGUCUGGAGGCUGCACAGCCCCAUGACCUUCCCCACUAAUCCCAAGUAUUUCCUUCUCUUUAUGUCUUCCUACAGGCUACCUCUUCUCUCCUCUGGUUCUCCCAUUUCCUCUCCGUCUCUGAUGCACCCUCUAUCACCAGGAGUCAGCAGCAGGGUCGGAUUCCGCUCCUGCAGACAUAGUGUCCUCCGGCGACCCCGAGUUUUGCUGAGUUUCCCCUGGCUGGUAGGGUGUUUCAUCGAGAGUGAAGACUCACAGUCUUCAAGAGGAAGAUUUCCAGCUAAACCCUGGAGAAGCACUUUCCACUUGUCAGUGUCUUUCAUCACCCUCCCAGCUCUCAGAGGUGGUGCUGAUCUCCCCCCUGUCAUCCAAGAGCAGCGAGAAGGAAAGUGGUCUCUUGAGAUUGCACUCCAAAUGUACCCCUGCAUUUUCUGUUUCAUUGACAAUGUUCUCUCACACAUUUUUGGGAUGAGAGAACCACAAGUCAAGGCAGAGGCCUUUCCCAAGGGGCAGGACUCUUAGACAGACAUAAUUCUAGCAAACUCACUUCUUUCAAAGCAAGUGACAACACAUUUGAAUAAAAAUAUUUGACCCAUUUAAAGUAAAUCCUAU
rnacentral:lncRNA from 1 species